rnacentral:rRNA from 1 species
AGCGAACGCUGGCGGCGUGCCUGACACAUGCAAGUCGAGCGAGAAAGCCCCUUCGGGGGUGAGUAGAGCGGCGAACGGGUGAGUAACACGUGGGUAACCUGCCUUCGAGAGGGGGAUAACCACCCGAAAGGGUGGCUAAUACCCUAUAAGACCACGAAUUCCAUGGAAUACGGGGUAAAAGGUGGCAGAAACUUAGUUUCCGCUGUCACUUGGAGAGGGGCCCGCGCACCAUUAGCUUGUUGGUAGGGUAAUGGCCUACCAAGGCUACGAUGGUUAGCUGGUCUGAGAGGAUGAUCAGCCACACUGGGACUGAAACACGGCCCAGACUCCUACGGGAGGCAGCAGUGAGGAAUAUUGCGCAAUGGGGGAAACCCUGACGCAGCGACGCCGCGCGGGUGAAGAAGGCCCUCGGGUCGUAAAACCCUGUCAGGUGGGACGAAUAGAGACCGACGAUAAACCGGUCUCUUUGACGGUACCACCAGAGGAAGCACCGGCUAACUCCGUG